CAAGUAUUAAGGGUCAAUAUGAGGAUUCUUUAGGAAAGAUUCUUUUGGUCAAUUUUCAGGCUGCCCAACCACUUCCUCAAUGGUGGCGACAGCGUGGUGGCUGAAUCCCUCGCAACCCUAGUUUUCAUGGACGAGGAGGAGGUGGGUUUUCUCUCGUUGCAUCGGUCUUCGAUAACGAUGGCAUGCUUUUGCUUGCUUCCAUCCUUAUUGUUCCAUCAUAAGUUCUUGAUCUUUGGUCCAAAGAUGGUUCUGUACGGUGAUUCUUUGAGAAAGAUUCUUUUGGUCUAUUUUCAUGACCGCCCCUUCCUCGACGGUGGCGAAAACCUAGCUGUAGAUUCCAUCGCCAGCUUAGCUUCCUUGGUAGAGGCUAAAAACAAAAGUGGCGAUCGACAAGGAGGGUUUUCUAUAGUUGCAUCGAUGGUGAUCGCAUGCUUUCGCUUGUUUCCUGUCCUAUGGUGGCCAUUCUAUCUCAGAUUCUUGAUCCUUGGUGCAGAGAAGUGUCGGUACAAGGAUUCUUUUGAAUAGAUUCUUUUGGCCACAGAUUUUCAUGGCGAGCUCUGCUGCCGCCUAGCUUGCAAUGAAGAUGGCAAUUGACGAGGAGGUUUUUUUUUCUCUCAUUAGGCCAGUGAUGCUUUUUCUUGCUUCCAGCCCUAUCAUGGUUGUUUGAUCGUAGAUUCUUGAUUUCUUGGUCCGGAGGAGAAGAGUUAGUAGGUUGGUUCUUUUGGACAUCGAGUGUUCCUUUGCCUCGUGAUGGAUUUCUGCCCACUGGCAAGGAAACCUUCUGUCAAUGGCAUAAUUGCAUUGAUAGGGGGACCUGAGGUGGAGUAGAUUAUUUGGUCAUAGUGUUGUUAUGAUCAUGCUGUUUGUGCUUCUUAUGGAUGAAGAAGAGAUAAUUGGAUUGGUUGCAGUUAAGUGGCUGGGAAAGUUUAUCCGUUAGUGUUUGAUAAAUCCAGCUAAUCUGUUUAUAAUAUUAUGAUCAGUUUAGUGAGUGUGGGAAAUUCUUUAUGGCAAGCAAAGGAGGGCACCGCCCACAGCCAGUAAAUGAAUGUGAUAUUUAUUCAGCUUUGGAAUCUUUAUGAAUUUGUAAAGCAGUAUUUCCUAUGUUAAAGGAAGAUCUUAUUAUCUCUUUUCAUGUUGGCCGAGUGGACAUUUGUGUUGGCUACCAUUUAAUUUUUGCUGUUUCUGAUCAUCCCUGAUGCAGCAAGACUUCCCUGACUAUAGUGAUCAAUUGUUACCUGAAUUUGGAUCUGCAACAUGUGCUCCAAUUAUUCAUGUUGCUGAAUUUGGAUGCAGCAAGACAUCGCCUCCUCUCGUCCCUUUCCUCGCAAAUCGCCAGAUAUUCAUCCUCUCUCUUUCUUGACCAUAUUUCUUCGUUCUUUUUUUUUUUUUCCAUUCUUCUAUUGUUUUGGUAUCUGAAAGGACCUGAAUUCUAGGUUUUCGUUGGGUUUGCAUCAAACUUCUUCGUGCAAAUUUCCUCAUGGUCCUUUUCUUUCUUGAUCAAUAUUUCUUCGAUCUUGUCCUGUCGAAUGGGUUCUUGACUUGAUUUAAGUUUUUAGGUGUUGUUUUUUUUGGUGGCCAGAUGAGCGAGGAGCCAUAGGAGGCCGUUGAUCGAUUGAGGAAACUUUUGAGGACGUAGGGGCUUGUCGGUGGAAAGUGGUUUGAUGACUACGAUGCCAAGACUGUUCAGCACCUUGCUGAUUCUCCUUCCAAACAAAUCGAGAUAUUGGACCCAAAUCAAUCAGCAUCUUCUUCAACUAAAAUCGAAUGCUUACAAUCUGAUAUAGUUGGUGAGUUUGUAAAAGUUUUAUAGUUGUAGUAUCUUACUCUUUGAGUAACCACUUUAAACAUGGAAACAAUGAAAUUAAUAUAUUCCUUAGCCAAUUAAUUUUUACUGAUAUAUGCAAGUCUGUAAAUUUACAUUCCAUUGUAUGUGAAAACUAACUAUCUUCACAUCUUUGUGGUGUCAUCUCUAGCCUUAAACUAACUAUCACACUUUAAACAUGGAAGCGUUUAUGGUUUUCUAAUUAUUUGGAAUGAACAUGCACUAGUAAAGCAUGAACACAUUGAUAACCCAGAGGAGGUGGGAACACAACUUUCUGGUUAAUGCCAAUUCAACCCCAAUUCAAUCUGCACUCUGAAGAAGCUAAUGUGAGUAAAAUAUGCCACGUUUGUUGAAGCACCAGCGCAUGAAAUUCUGUUUAAUAUAGGUAACAAAUAUUUUCCUGUUCAUGUUUUUUUUUCAAGCAUUAAUAGCA